AUGGAUGGAUAAAUAAUUUUAAUAUUAAAUAAUAUGUUUUCUUCAAUAGCUUCCAAAUUGUGCCCCAUUAACUCAAAAUCAGUGUGAAAUUAUUCUAUUAGACUGUAUAGAUCAUCUUUAUUACACUUUGACCCCUUUUUUAUUUAACUAAUUUUAUAUUUAAAAAAUAUAUUUUUAAAAAUGUUCAUAAAAUGUAUUACCUUAGAUGAUUAUCACAUUUGUUACCUGUAACAAAUGUGAUUACAUAUUUACAUACAAUUCUAGGACAGGAUCUAUUUUAUUACAUGUUCACUUCUUACCUGAAAUAUGUUGAAUACAACAAAUAUUUACUUAAAGUGUGAUCUUUUCAUAACAUUUACUUUUCACCUUCAUUGUUUACUCUGAACUGUUUCAUUACACUCUUUGAUCUGGUUUGCUUGUUACAUUAAAUGUUUACUGCAAAAUUAAAUAUAACUGUUUACUUUAAUCAGAUAAAAUGUUUAUUUAAAAUAUAAUCUUUCAUUACAUACUUGAAACAUUUUAGAUAUCACAUUUUUACUUGAAAUGUGAUUAAUUUCAUCACCUGUUUCCAUGCAACUUGAAGUGCUUGAAUCAAACGUUUCAUCAAUGUUUACCACAUAAAAUUAUGAAAUGAGAGAAAAUAGCCACUUCCAACUGAACACAUAUUUCAACUUCAGAGUGUGCAGCCUUGCUGAGCUCCUCUCCUGGGGUUUCCUCCUCAGCCUCUCCAACUUCCUCCUCUUCUAUAGCCUAUAGAAUUAUUUACUUCUUCUGGGAUAAAUAAUGAAAACAGUCUCUGUAACUUGUUGAUCCACCAUGGUCCUGCUAUGUCGCCUCUUUAAUCUACGUGCAUGUGUAACCUGCACAAAAUAAUCAGAACGUAUUUUAUUUUGGCGGGUCAAGCAGCACACUUUAAGUUCCGGGUUGGGGGUGAGCUCGGGUCCUCUUCAUGACGGUUGCUGCUGUCGCUGUGGCUGGCUGCGUGUGUUGGCGUUUUCCCAAAUCGCUGCAAGAACAUUGCUAAAUCGACUCAGAUUAACACAGCCGAAGCACCACAUUGGGUGUGUUAUGACAACUACUCGACGGUCAGGUUCCCCCCCCCCCCCCCCCCCCUGUUUCCACGUCAGGAUGGCGAGCUACCACCGGAUCACCGCAGCUUUGCGGUAGGAUGUAACUGAACCGAACUACCUCAUUUUUCCCGGACCAUUAUUUUUUUUUUCCCCUCCUCCCUCCUUUUGCUUCCCUUGGAUUAUGGACUAAAACCAGUUGGACUAUUGUUUGGUGAACCAUUAAUCACCUUACCAACAAAAAGCACGGACUUGAAUGAGAGAGAGAAAAACUCUUGGGUGUCAUCAGGGUUUAUUUAUUUGUUUGUUGUUGUUUUUCUUGUUGUGUUUAUUGUUUAUAUUUAUAAGAGAAUAGUAUUAUUAUUAUUAUUAUUAUUAUUCAAUACCUUCCUAAAUAUAUGGAAAAAUAUACAUGCAAAUACAAUAACUU